GGAAAGCUGAAUCUCAGCUUUAGAGAGCUGAGUUGGAGAAGGCUUCCAGCAGCUAGAGAGGGGUUAUCUAGCUGUGAUUUCUCCAUUUUAGUCCAGGAAAAAGUUGCCUUGAAGCUUGAGGAAGCAGGUUUUCGAACCAUUUUGAACUAAAUUGGUGACCUUG